AGGGUUGUAGUUAAUUAUAAUUUCUGAAUUGCACUCAGACGGUGCCGUUAGGCCUUCCUUA
rnacentral:tRNA from 1 species